rnacentral:lncRNA from 1 species
AGGCAAUGGCUUGAGCUAUUUCAAUGGGAUGAAAUUCUCAACCUAUGAUCAGGAUAAUGACAAAGGGCGCAUCAACUGUGCUGGUCACCCCCAAUUUAAAGGAGGAUGGUGGUACAACAACUGUUGGACAACUAAAGAUGCAAUGCUCAAUGGACAUUACACCCAUAGAAAUAAUAUUAACCAGGGUAUUAUUUAUCGCACAGUUGGAAAAUAUUCACAGAAGAAAUCUACCAUGAAGAUCCGAAGGUUGUACUUGUGAUAA